UGUAACAGCCCAAGUCCACGUCAAGAAAAUUGGAACGAUACAGAGAAGAUUAACAUGACCCCUGCGCAAGGAUGACACGCACAAAUCGAGAAAUGGUAAAAAAAUUU